AGGGAUCAGCCCCCAGGCAGGAUCCGCCCCUCCGGCCUCCCCCCCUCCCCCCGCCACCUCCACCCCUUCCCUCGCUCCCUCUCUGGCUCCGCGGUCUCUCCCGCUGAACAGGAGCGAGAGCGCGAAAGAGAGGGGGAACAAGAAAAAAAAUCCCCCCGCCCGUGCCCGGCGCGGCGGCGGCCGGGGCGGCGCGGAGAGGAGCGCGGAGCCGCUGCCGCCACAGGGCACCGUCCCCUGCUCGGCCUCACGGUGGCGGUGCGGAUGCGGCAGGGGCGCGGAGCAAAGGCGGGAUCUGCGCCGGCCGCGGCCCCGGCUCACGCCGACCUGGCUCGCCACGGGGCGAUUUCUUGGGGUGCAGGUUCCUGCACUUCUCCCAGAAAGUCGCCCCCUUCCCCCCUUGCUCCAGUCCGGAGGACAAAGGUCUAUCGAUGUCCAUACCCUUCCCCAGUGAGGACAGCCGGGGAAGAUCUGCCUCUGUUGUGUACAGACUGGAGAAUCUCAACUGACCUGUCUUCAAGUUUUCUGAUUCUUCUUUCUGCCAGCUGGAAUCUACAGUCAUGCUCCUCUAG